CUCUCCCAACAGGAAGUGCUAUUAUCUGCAUGAAAGCCAGCUUGAUCAGUAGUCUGCAACUGAAGGACAGCAACAGAAAAGUGAAACGCUUCCAUCUGCAGAGGAGCCGAGCUGGCCCAAAAUUGUAUCAGUUUAUACUCAAGUGUAUGAUUUGAAAAGAUGGACGGAUGGGCAAUCAAUGAUUCCCAAAAACCUACACCUCCUGAACAGCAACUGAAAAUGCCUUAACUUAUCAUCUUCCCCUCAAAACAAACCUUAAACCAUAUCCAAAAAGAAACUAUAGCUGGAGCAUCUGCAGCCUGAGACAGAGUGCCACAGUCUCCGAACAAUUCAGGAUUGGCUUUCCGAAUCAGACAGAGAAGAC